UACGGGGGGGGCAAGCGUUGUUCGGAAUUACUGGGCGUAAAGGGCUCGUAGGCGGCCUUCUAAGUCAGACGUGAAAUCCCCCGGCUUAACCUGGGAACUGCGUCUGAUACUGGGAGGCUUGAGUAUGGGAGAGGGAUGUAGAAUUCCAGGUGUAGCGGUGAAAUGCGUAGAUAUCUGGAGGAAUACCGGUGGCGAAGGCAGGUCUCUGGGCCACUACUGACGCUGAGAAGCGAAAGCAUGGGGAGCGAACAGG
rnacentral:rRNA from 1 species